rnacentral:miRNA from 1 species
CUUGGAAAACCUGCUCUUUAGUGCUGAAUUGGAGCAAACAUCCAUCUGUGAAAAACCCAGUUGAUGUCUGCUCCAAUUCAGCACUAAAGAGCAGGUUUUCCUGG